rnacentral:miRNA from 1 species
UAUGACACAUAAGCGUAGUUGGA